rnacentral:rRNA from 1 species
UACGAAGGGGGGCUAGCGUUGUUCGGAAUUACUGGGCGUAAAGCGCGCGCAGGCGGUCUUCCAAGUCAGUGGUGAAAGCCCGGAGCUCAACUCCGGAACUGCCAUUGAAACUGUUGGACUUGAGUACGAGAGAGGUGAGUGGAAUUCCCAGUGUAGAGGUGAAAUUCGUAGAUAUUGGGAAGAACACCGGUGGCGAAGGCGGCUCACUGGCUCGUAACUGACGCUCAGGCGCGACAGCGUGGG